rnacentral:rRNA from 1 species
GAUGAACGCUAGCUACAGGCUUAACACAUGCAAGUCGAGGGGUAGCAGGGUAGCAAUACCGCUGACGACCGGCGCACGGGUGAGUAACGCGUAUUCAACCUUCACACAACUCGGGGAUAGCCUUUCGAAAGAAAGAUUAAUACCCGAUAGUACAUAAGAAAGGCAUCUUUUUUAAGUUAAUGAUUUAUUGGUUAUGGAUGGGGAUGCUUUCCAUUAGAUAGUUGGUGAGGUAACGGCUCACCAAGUCUUCGAUGGAUAGGGGUUCUGAGAGUAAAGUCCCCCACAUUGGUACUUAGACACGUACCAAACUCCUACGGGAUGCAGCAGUAAGGAAUAUUGGUCAAUGGGCGAGAGCCUGAACCAGCAAAGUAGCGUGAAGGAUGAAGGUCCUAUGGAUUGUAAACUUCUUUUAUAGUAGAAUAAAGUGGCCCACGUGUGGAUUUUUGUAUGUAUACUAUAAAUAAGGAUCGGCUAACUCCGUGCCAGCAGCCGCAGUAAUAC